rnacentral:rRNA from 1 species
UACAGGGGGGGCAAGCGUUGUUCGGAAUUACUGGGCGUAAAGGGCUCGUAGGCGGCCAACUAAGUCAGACGUGAAAUCCCCAGGCUUAACCUGGGAACUGCGUCUGAUACUGGAUGGCUUGAAUCCGGGAGAGGGAUGCAGAAUUCCAGGUGUAGCGGUGAAAUGCGUAGAUAUCUGGAGGAAUACCGGUGGCGAAGGCGGCAUCCUGGACCGGCAUUGACGCUGAGGCGCGAAAGCCAGGGGAGCAAACGGG